rfam:Hordeum vulgare subsp. vulgare, WGS project CAJW01000000 data, contig: morex_contig_76018
UACGUACUCCCUCCGUUCCAAAAUUCUUAUCUUAUGUUUGUCUAGAAAUUAAUGUAUCUAAAUACUAAUACAUGAUCAAAUACAUUCAUAUCUAGACAAAUCAAAGACAAGAAUUUUAGGACGGAGGGAGUAUUUG